UACCUACGGGAGGCAGCAGUGGGGAAUAUUGCACAAUGGGGGAAACCCUGGUGCAGCGACGCCGCGUGAGCGAAGAAGUAUUUCGGUAUGUAAAGCUCUAUCAGCAGGGAAGAAAAAUGACGGUACCUGAGUAAGAAGCACCGGCUAAAUACGUGCCAGCAGCCGCGGUAAUACGUAUGGUGCAAGCGUUAUCCGGAUUUACUGGGUGUAAAGGGAGCGCAGGCGGUGCGGCAAGUCUGAUGUGAAAGCCCGGGGCUCAACCCCGGGACUGCUUUGGAAACUGUGUAGCUAGAGUGCUGGAGAGG
rnacentral:rRNA from 1 species